rnacentral:rRNA from 1 species
GAUAAACGCUGGCGGCGUGCUUAACACAUGCAAGUCGAACGAAGUUUUUCCUUCGGGAGAAACUUAGUGGCGGACGGGUGAGUAACGCGUGGGUAACCUGCCUUGUACAGGGGGACAACAGCUGGAAACGGCUGCUAAUACCGCAUAAGCCCUUAGCACUGCAUGGUGCAUAGGGAAAAGGAGCAAUCCGGUACAGGAUGGACCCGCGUCUGAUUAGCCAGUUGGCAGGGUAACGGCCUACCAAAGCGACGAUCAGUAGCCGAUCUGAGAGGAUGUACGGCCACAUUGGGACUGAGACACGGCCCAGACUCCUACGGGAGGCAGCAGUGGGGAAUAUUGCACAAUGGAGGAAACUCUGAUGCAGCGACGCCGCGUGAGUGAAGAAGUAUUUCGGUAUGUAAAGCUCUAUCAGCAGGGAAGAAAAUGACGGUACCUGACUAAGAAGCACCGGCUAAAUACGUG